GAUGAACGCUGGCGGCGUGCCUAAUACAUGCAAGUCGAGCGAACGGACGAGAAGCUUGCUUCUCUGAUGUUAGCGGCGGACGGGUGAGUAACGCGUGGAUAACCUACCUAUAAGACUGGGAUAACUUCGGGAAACCGGAGCUAAUACCGGAUAAUAUUUUGAACCGCAUGGUUCAAAAGUGAAAGACGGUCUUGCUGUCACUUAUAAAUGGAUCCGCGCUGCAUUAACUAGUUGGUAAGGUAACGGCUUACCAAGGCAACGAUGCAUAGCCGACCUGAGAGGGUGAUCGGCCACACUGGAACUGAGACACGGUCCAGACUCCUACGGGAGGCAGCAGUAGGGAAUCUUCCGCAAUGGGCGAAAGCCUGACGGAGCAACGCCGCGUGAGUGAUGAAGGUCUUCGGAUCGUAAAACUCUGUUAUUAGGGAAGAACAUAUGUGUAAGUAACUGUGCACAUCUUGACGGUACCUAAUCAGAAAGCCACGGCUAACUACGUG
rnacentral:rRNA from 1 species